GAAGAGAACAGGGGGAGACGGGAGAGGCCAAUAGGGAGGGACACUGCAACGUUACACGCCCUAGGUUCAGGGUGGUUGGUCCUGGUGCAGCAAGGGGCUCAGGCUCUCUGCAGACUCUAGCAGCCUGUUGUACAGGGAUUGUGCGCACUGGGUAGUGCUUUGGGGCAGCAAGGGUGAAAAGCGGGGAAGGGGGAGAGGUCAGUUAGGUUUUUAAUUAAAAAAUAAAAUCAAGUUGGGAAAGUGGAACCCCCCCAGCCUGCACCCGCUGUGACCCCAGCCUCCGCCACUGGGAAGCUCUGGCUUCUGCCACUGAGGACAAAGCAGGAAGUAAUGGAACAUCAAGAGGCAUAUCCCUGACACCUGAUGACCACACCACGUGCUAAACUGUAAGCCUCUGCUUCAAAGCAUUAAGCCUGGAAGCAUGCUCUAUGGAAACUGGAAAUCCUGACAAGAGGAGUCACAAAAUGCUUCCUUGUCUGAUGUAAUGUCGUGGGAGCUGGCAUGAGCGUCUCUGAUAAUGGUGUGGGCAACACUUGCACGAAGAUUGUAACAGAAACUGUGUAUUUUCGGAUGAAUGGCUUCUAUUUUUCCAUGUAAUAUUAUGUGCAUAUGUCCUUCUGGCAGGAAAUGACCAGGGGGUAGCUCUGAUUUUACCCUAAUAUGUUAUCACAGUUGUUCAUGACUUGAAUCUAAAUGCUAUUAAAUAUUAGCUCCCAUUUAGAACUUUACCAAAAGGACGCAGCUCUGCCAGUGCCCAUUUUUAGUGAAUUUAACAAACAGUAUGCACUAAACAGCUACAGAUUUCCAUUUUGAAAAUGACAGCACUGGAUUCCCUGAGCCACAGUCUAUACCGGUGUAAAUCAGCAGAGCUGCACUGAAGCCAGUAGCGCUAUGUCACUUUGCAUAAUAAUUUGACCUCCUCAUUCUUGCCUCAAAACACUCAUAUGAGGUAGGCAAAGAUUAUUAGGCUUUUAAUUUAGCAGAUCUGCUGUACAGCUUCUCUCUGCUCUCAGGCUCUUAUUGCGCCUCUGUGGUCAGCAAAGGAACAUACAGCAAGAGAGAGAGAAACUGCAGCCGGGUGUAUUUUAAACAAUUUCCAAAAUCCAAACGAAUGUUGAGGCCAAGAGGAUGUUUUCCUUAGUGGCAGAAAUACAAGCAUCCUGGAUUCUGUUUUCCUGCUAAUAGGUAUAAAGACGAAUAAACAGCUGCUUUCUGUUUUCCCAAAAAUAUUUGCAUUAAGAUGAUCUGCAAAUUCCUGCUCAGAUUGAUGGAACAUCUCUUCAAAUGAGGACCAGCUGCUUGCUCUGUUUGUUUAUGGCAGGACAUGCUUAAGAGACCUUUUUUUUUUUUUGUUUGUUUAUCAAAAUGUGGGACCAGACUCUUUCUGGUGGGCUGUAAUCGCAGUGUGGGUGAUGUCUGAAUAAGGGGCGAGUCUGUGCAUGUAACUGUGGUUGCAGCCAUCCCACCUUCUGCUGUGAUUUUCUGCGAUUGUCAGCUAACCGAAGUUGGACUAGGGCUAUUCGUGAACGGGAGGCUUCCAAGAAAUGCCAAAACAGAGCAAGAGGAAGUGACAUCGUUGUUACUGAACUGUUCCAAGUGGUAUACUAUCUAAAGGUAUUGCCUUUAGUAUGAGAGAUUUAAAAAGGCUUUCUAAUUUGGUACCCUUAAAAAGCGCACAGUAUUAAUUUCCAAGAAUAUAUAUGAUGUUAACUGCAAGGUGCUGGGGUAAUAAUACAAAACUGAGCAGUGGCAUGCUCUUGGCUUAAGUUCCCUUUGUAGUUUGCAGUUGGAUACAGGAUUUUUGCCUUCCAUUCCACGUUGCACAGAAACUACUUUGCAACAAUAUUAAACAGUUGUGUUCCUCCCUAGAGCUGGUUGCACUUCAUGGCUGAAGAAGCAACCCUUGUGCAUCCUGUUGUCCCUAUAUUGUUUUUCAAAUUGCCUAUAAAAUACCACAGGGAUUUAUGAUUUUGUGGAACCAAUAAUAUUAAUAAAUCAACAUAUAACGGUUUUUAAAGGGCACAGAUUAAAGGCACAAUAUGAGGAAUAACAGUAGCAUCACCUUUGCCAAUGACUGGCUUUCUCUCAACGGAAGUGAUUUGCUGCUGUUCUUGAAAGCAGACUGAGAUGAGUUUAUGCAGUUCUCUUGUAGUAGCUACAUGAAUAUAAAGGUCACAGAGACGCAGCUGGAGCAGAGAGAAGAGGAAACUGGAAAUCCUCUGAGUCUCUGGUCAAGGAAAUUCCUGGGACUGACACGGUGCUGUACCAAAGAGUGAAACCUGAAGAAAACAAAGGAAAGCACAGGAUGAAAUCCAGGAUUAAACAUUACCCAGGAGAAGAAACUUCAGGGUAGGGUCGCCUGCAAAGGAUGCCUCGCAACCGGCAGUUGAAGAGGCAGUCUCUCUGGCAACCAGAAGGCAGGAUGAGGAAAUGAAGGAGACAGAAGGCAAUAUGGAUAAACACUAUUAGCAGCGGGAGUUUGUGAGAGCACAGAGAGCUUAUAGAUAGGGACCAGGUUCUGGGCUGUUCUGCACUCUGUAUAGUUAUUCCAUCUGUGCAAAGUGAGUACAAAGUGCUACUAAAUAAAGAACGGCAGGAGGUUACACUCACAUUGUGCUCUCUAGAUGCUGGAUUCCACCAGGGGACAGAGGUUGCCCAGCAGGAUUUCAGCUGGAGGCAACGGGCUCAGAGCAGACAUAGAUUCUGCUCCCCACUGUGCUCUUUGCUCCAUGUCUGUCCUUGGACAAAUAACUUGGCCCCUCUGUAAUUCAGCUUCCCUGUCCAUAAAAUGAGGAUGACAGCUCCCUCUGUAAAGCAUUUUGAGAUCUACCGAUGAGAAGUUAUUCAUCUCUUUACAUUUAAUUAGAUAAGAAGCUGAUCGUGAAAAUUCCUUACCAUCCAGUGGCAAAAGGAUUUGUCAAUGCUGCUGGGCACGGAUUACAAAUACCAGAAUAAAAUACGCUUCUGAUUUUGAUUUUGCCACUAGAUUGCACUGGUGGCUCUGUGCACUAGACGGAGAGAACAGAACAAUGGUGGGUUAGUUGCUUUAUCACCUCCAGAAACAGCACCUUGCUUGGUUUCACUGGGUCUGGAUUCAGUCAACUGCAAGCAUUUCCCACACAUGGGAACAUCCACCAUAAGAGAAACAGAAUGUGCUCUGAUGGGCUUAGUGUCAGACAUUAUGUGUCUUAAAAAUGAGGGGAAUAUAAACAAAGGAGCAAACAGUGAUUUCAGUUGACAGCUUAACAGCUCAACAACAUCAGAUUCAUGUGCAAUUAAUAAGAGGGCUUUUGAUCCUGCAAUCAGUGUCUAUAAAAUACAUGUGGUUUCCCUGUAUACUUGAUUAUAUUUAAGGAAGCAAAAGGAUAAAUACUUUUUUUUUAUUAGCAUAACAAAGUACUUUUCACUUCAAGCCAGAACUUUGCAAAACAUUUGUGGUCUGACACGAUGUGCUUUUCAUUUCAUCUUCCUGCAUAUGUUGAAUAUACAACAAAAUGCUUCCUAUGCUUUUUAUUCCAGUGUUUAGCAAGAACCAAAGAAACUCAAUUGGAGAGUUUAUUGGAUCUGAGAUUUUAGAGGGAAAAAGUGCUUGUUUUUUAAAUGCAAUGUUUUCUCCAUAUAUAAAGGCAAAAAGAAAAAACAACUGUGUUUUUGAAGUCAAAGUACCCAACUAUCUUUUUAUAAUUUUAUUUUAAGCUUGUGGAACUUUAAAAGUAUAUGAACCUAUGUUAUGGCUUCUCGUGAAGUUGUGUUACAAUUCAGUUUGGGUUUUUUGCUAAAAGAUCCUCAAUUUCUAGCCCUUGCAAAGGUCGCUUCAGUGGUUUUUAUUGCUCAGAAUUGGUAAACCAGUGACAUUGGUUGGCUCGAGGCCAAGAACCUGAGUGCUUCUUGGAAAUAUGAAAAGGAAAAAUCAUGGUUCAGAGGUACCCACAAGACUACCCAGUGGUUUUGAAUUCCACAUCCAGCCCCACCGAUAGCUUUCGCUAUGGAGAUAGUCUUUGUACACAGUAGCAAAACAGCAUAUGAAUAGGAAAGAAUAUACUUUCCACCCCGGCUAAUUCUGAAACAGCUUUACCUAGGAUACAUUUGGAAUGUAAAAUCUGUUCUUUUAACAGUUUUCCCAUUCACUGCAGUCUCUGAUGAGUAAAUCAAAAUGCCACGUUUAAUAAAACCCAACACGCUGUCCAGGAGGUAUCAGGUUUGGGGCUCCUCCCUCCCCUGCAAAAAUGUUAAAAACAGACUUCAGAAUAUUAUUUUUCACUCCAUCAACACCCAGGCAGAUGUCCUGUUUGCCUUAAAAGCCCAUUUGGUUAAUGUCAGAGAAGAUAAUAAACCUAGCAGCCUCGCAUGUGUGUACACAGGCCAAACUGAGAUUCUGUAUUUUACUGCUGAGGCAGCUUUAUCACUGAUAGCCAUGGGGAAGCUGUAGAUUAAACGGGAUUCAGACUUUCUUAUCAUCAGGUCAUCUGACCCUGUUCAGUGCAGCACUGCCCUUCUCCAUGCUAUUUUAAGUUUUAGCGUGCAUUUUAGAAUAUGGGCCAGAUCCAAAGAAGGACAAUGCCUACCUUUUAGGAGCUUAACCCUCCGAAUGCAAUCCAAAGCCUAGAGUUAGGUACCUAUAGGUACCUACACUUCCAACAGGGAGAGUUAGGUACCUCAGAAAGGCGCUCCAAAAAAACUGAUGUGUUGAGGAGCAUAAAAAUGCUAAGCACCAGAUGGUGUCUGAACUUAACUUCCCCGUUGUUUGAACUUCCAUCCCUUCUUGUAGUUGAGGUGCCUGAAUUGGCGCUGAAAGGGACUAAAGCAAGUGCCCAGGAAGUGGGAGGCAUGGAUUAUAAGCCAUCCUCAGCCUGAGGGGCCUCAAACCUACAAGAUCUCAUUUCCAAGGAAAGUGUCCAAACACCAAGCUAAGAGCUAGACUGUAUGAGAGCACCUCUGCCCCUUCUGUAGCAAAAGAUGUAAGGCUCAUAGGGCCAGAGAGAAGAGCAAGCCAGAACCAUCCUCACUGCAUAGCCCAAUAGUUAAGACACUCAGCUGAGUUUUUCUCCCUAUUUCUAAGGGUAUUUUUGCCUUUUUAUUCAAUAAUUGUUUCACCUAACAUGUAAAAAUAGAUUUAGGAGCUGAGACUAGAACUCAGGAUUCCCUGUUCUCAGCUGAGAUGUACUUUAAAUCAUCAGUGAAUAUGAUUAAGGAGGUCAGGCAUGUCUUCUCAGAGCAGGAUUUCCAGGUAAUCAGAGACCCUGAAUUCAUAGAAGUGCAUUUUGGGACUUGUGGUCCCAGUAAUAUUGCACUAUGCCCUCUUUGGAUCUAUUGUCCAAAGAUGGAUGUAUUGGGUGUAUUGUAUUAUUUAAGGCUGGUCCUCCUGCCUCUCUCUCUUUCUCUCUCUCUCUUACUUAAGUGCAGACAGCUUUACAGACCAAGCAUUUCAAAACCAGCAUUAGCCAGAAUGAGGUUAGCUUUUAGAACUCUUGUCAGACUUGACUGUACUAAUGAUGUCUGCAGCUUGUCAUUAAAAAAGAAUCAAGGGAAAGCUGAUUAAAUGCAGCAGAAAGAGAGAAACAAAACUUUCCAUUCCUUUACUUUUUCCUUGACACGUGGCGCUUUAUUUGGAGCUUGCCAAUAUGCCAGCCAACAAAAUUGCAGGGGUCUAGUCAUGGUUCACUAGUUAAAUCUGUAUGGAAUUAGCUGCUGAUGUGGACCAAUGGAAAACACUCAUUUACAGAGCUGGAAAUGGCAGCCACGUAUAGGCUUACUCAUUAGGAAAGCUAUCAAUACAACAGAUUGGUUCGUUUCUGAUUUGUACUAUCCCAGCAUAGUGCAGAUCAAAUAAAGUGAGAAGCAUCAUACUGGAGUUUAGAUACACAGCCAAAAGAGAGUGAAAUAUUUGAUCAGGAGAGCUACAAAUGCUUAAAUCAGUCUUUUGUUAUGAGUGCACUUCCCGACUGAGAAGUUUGGGUGCUAACUUAACAAUCAUUGCACAGGCAGCUUGCAACAAAAUUCAUACAGCCAGCUGUUAUACAUCUUGUUCCAUUUUCCAAAGUUCCACUUCAUUCAGCCUUACCUGACAACCAUAAUUAGCAAUACAGCGUACUGCUGAACAUUACAUCAGCCUUGCAAAAUUGUCAUGAAAAUGUAUUAGCCCCGGCACAAAAUAUCCCUGUUCAUUACCACUAAAAUGAUCACUACGAAAAGAGUAAAUGGCAAUUUACUCCCCCAUCAGAAAUGAUUUCCCCUUGGUGAGUUAGAAUAGAAUUUUGUCUGCAAGUCUGCAUUUCUUUCUGUCUCUCUUUCUGUCUCUCUCGAUUGGUGAGCUGGUUGGUUUCAAGGUUUGGUUUUCAUUUGUCUGUUAUGGUUGGUAGUUUGUAAUGCAAAGUGAAGAAGGCAUCGGUAUCUGCCAGCUAAUGCUGGUAACCACGCGUGAAAAUCCUUGAGAGGAGUGAGGAUGAAAACAGAACACCCAAUUCUGAUAUUUCCCAAAGUUGUGCAGAGAUCUUUCUGUGCAUGGAGACCUAAAGGGAUGGAUGCCUCUCUCUGAGGGUGUGUGAACCAAGUCAAGCAGAUGCCUCCUACACUCUUGUAUCCUAUGCAGAUUACUGCUGCUCUUGGCAAAAGUGAUUUGUGUGUGGAAGGGGAUUAAUAUUAUUGAAAAAAUAUUGGAGAAAUUAAGUCUUCGUUCUUUGGAAAAGGGGAGAUUAGGAGGAAACUAGGAGUCAGUACAAUCCUGUAAGACACAAUCCAGGCGGAGAGAUGCUACAGGGAUCUUUGAAGUGAUGCCAAAUACAAUAACAAAGGGCCAUACGCUCUUCUUAGGAAAAGCUAGUUAUUUAUUAGAUUUAUAUGCUGCCCUCCCUGAAAGAGUCUCAGAGCAGCUUACAAUAAAAUUCAGAGAAAUUAUAAAGACACAUACAAGUAUUAAAUAAUAUGCAAUAGGACAAACUCCCCAGACAGUGCCCCAAAACUUAACCCUACUUGCUGAAGGCCAGCUCAAAUAAAAAAAGGUCUUACAAGACUUCCGUAAGAUGUCCAAGCUCAAGCUCUGAUGGAUAUUAAAGUUGGCUGGAAUUUUUUUAACCAUAAAGUACUGAAAUACUCACCCCCUCCUCCUGUCCACUUGCCUCCUCCUUCCAUCUCAUGCUGCAAAAGCAGAAACCAGGGUAAAAAGAUUUUGAAAAAGAAAUAGAUCUGUAUUCUAAAGAAAGGGGAGGGGAGCAUCCAAAAUUCUGGCUAAUAUGGGUGAACCUCGAGCAAGACCUGAUACAAUAGCACCUGAAGUGAUGAUAUUUUGAUUACGGCCAGCCCUUUGAGGAGCUUACCCAUUGAAGGCAUGAUCUAAAGGACUGUGCCGAAAGUUUCACUGCUGACACACAAUACACAUGCAUGAAAUAUAUAUUGGCCACGCCUUCAGACCCUACCCAGGAAUGUCCGUUCAUCUGCAUGGUACGCACCUGUCUAUCUUGCAAGACAACAGAAUUGCUCUUGAGUGAGACACUGGAUCGCUCAAUGGAAACCUCACUUGAUAAUAAAGUGAAGCUGGAGUGACUGCUCCAGGGGGCAAAAGCCUGGUGGACACAUUCUGUCAUUUCUGGCUGUGUGAUGGAGGUGUACAGACUGAAGAACUAAUCAGCACAGUACUUAAGCAAAUGCCUAAUUAAGCAUGUGAGUACUCUCAUUGAUGGAGCAUACAAUUCAAGUUAGACACCUGCUUAACUUGGAGGCUGACACGGAGCCUGAGCCUAGAAUUUGGCCCUCUGCUAACUUAAAGGCAGCUACGGAUUUUGAAAGGCUUUCUGGCUGCUUCUUGCCCCCAGUCUCCUCUGUGCUUUCGUAUAUGCAUCUAUUAUGCUCACAAACCAGGCUAGAAGGAAGUGGGAAGGGAGGAGGGAAACAGUGCACAUUAGGCUGUGAAAUGUAAAAAGAGGUUUUUCAAACAGCAUAUUCAAAACGUCACCCUGGAGUCAUACAAUAAUAAAUAUUCAAUAUUACAUUGAAAGGGUUUAAUUGCCAAGUAACUAUGGCAAUGGAGAGAAAAGCCUGUCUUUGGACACAUUCCCUCCUGCAUUAAUUUUUCCCAGGAGGAGGAGAAUGGAUUCUAGAUUGUUAAUGGAUAACGUUUUCCAGAGCCCUCUCCGAUCACUCAGUGACUCCAGGAUUAAAAAGAAGCAGACAGAAUUCUCCGAGGGAAGCUGGACGUUCAAAACAAUUAUGCUGAACAAUUCCAUCUCCUCAGACGGGGUUGAGUACACCAGGUUCCCGAUGCAAGGCUGUCAAAGGCAUUGAGACCCACUGUGCAGCAGUGUGACCCCUAGUAAAGUGAGCCUAGCUCUGAAUCCAAAUGCUCACUGCCUCUUCCUCUGUCCCCAAAGAAACAGGCUUUACAGCAAGCCUACAAGCCUGAAAAUGAAACUCAAAAGUGUUUGGAAAUGGAGGGCGGUGCUGGCACAUUGGGACGUGCCACUGGAUCUGUGGUUUUAGAAAAUAUUUCUUAAUCCAGGUAGGGAAAGAACUGCAUUAUCCCAUUGGUAUUUUCUUAAGUAACUUGAUGCAUGUCUCUCUUGGAUGGAUGGAUGCUAUAAGGCAGUGAUGUUUAAUUUGAGAAAACUGGUAAGGGGGAAGGGGAAUAAUUGUCUUAUAUUGUUACUGGAAUAUAGUCCUCUGGGAAGGAUUUUUAGAAUGGUCUGCUAUUUGGGGCAAUCCAUUACAUUUCAACGGCAAUAAACCUUUGCUGCUUAGAAUUUUUUUGAAACAAAUCAUUCAUAGUGAGGGUUACGCAGUUUCCAGAAGGCGGUUUGAACUAAACCAAGAUCAGGAACUCUUCCAUUCUUUCUUUAGACCAAAAACUGUAAUGGCACAAAGGCAGUUUCCUAAGGCAGAGGCCACAUCAGCAAUAGAAAGCCCUAGAGAAUACUGGAAAACCUGUAGGGAUAUUUUUACUUUCCAUUCUUAGCUUCAGUCCUUUAUUUGAUAGAUGUGAUUUGAUUUCUAGAAGGUCUUCCUCUGUGUGGUAGAGAAACCUCAAUUCUGUGGGAAAGAAAAUGGGAUUUGUGACCCAGAACAAUAAAGACACCAUCUAUGCUACAGCAGCAACAAAAAAAACAACCAAGGCAAACCCAUGUUACCCAACUGCUCACCGUUCCUUUAACAAACAUGAACACUCCUUGCCCAACUCUCCCCUCCCAAAUCUGUCCUUUAAAUUAUACCAAUGCUUGUUUAGGAGGAUUUUCAAACAUAAAUCCCUAUUUGUGUCUUGCUGUCGCAAUAACCAGUUACAGAGCCGUUGAUGUGUGAACCCCCAACCCUUCCUUUGAUCCAGGUAGGCAGACUCCUGUGUCUGUGAACAGAAAAGGGGAGCAAAACUCAGCAGAGUGUCCUAACUACAGGCAAAAUGCUGUUUCGCUUAGCGCUAUUUUGCUCAUUUUAAAUUGAUAUGUGAUUUCACUUAGCCCUCAGCGAGUUUCGUUAUACUGCUCGCGGUCGCCAUCUCGGGUCAUUAAAAACAAUUGCGGUCACCAUCUUGGGUUGUCAGAUACUUCCAGUUUCACUUAAUGCUUGUUUCACUUAACACUCGUUUUUUCAGGAAUCAACGAAGAAUGCUAAAUGGAGGUUGCCGGUACAUGAUUUCACUUAGCGCUCAGCGAGUUUCGUUAUAAUCUUUGCAGUCGCCAUCUUGGUUCAUUAAAAACUACUGCGGUCGCCACCGUGGGUCGCCAAAUACUGUCGGUUUCACUUAAUGCUCAUUUCACUUAAUUCUUCGUUUUUCAGGAACCAAUGAAGAGCGCUAAGCGGGGAUUGCCUGUACGUGAUUUCACUUAGCGCUUAGCAAGUUUCGUGAUAAUGUUCGUGGUCGCCAACUUGGUUCAUUAAAAACAACUGUGGUCGCCA